GUCGGGAUAGCAUAGAGGCUCUGCGGCGGACUGCAGAUCCGCAUACGGGUGUUCAAAUCUCCCUCCCGACCCCA
rnacentral:tRNA from 1 species